rnacentral:rRNA from 1 species
AUGGGUGCUAGUGCCCAUGAGUUUCAUCUGAAAGCAGGUGGUGAGGCUGUACAGAUAAGGGGUAGUCCUUCUGGCCUGGAAGCCGAAAUGCAGCUUAGGGAUUUGAAUAGGGUCAGUGAAGACUUGCUUGUUCAGACUGAGGAGGUGCUACAGAAGGAGGCAUGUCAAGAUGCUCAAUUUUGGACGCAAGUUGGUGCCUUAUCUACAGAUGAUUACAUGUGCAGGCUGAUUCAAUUGGCAUCCCCAUUAGUGCCCUCAUCCAUAUUGGAUGUACCUAAUGAUAUCCUGUUGGUUAUUGCUGACCUUGUUAGCCCCCCCUACCAGCUAGAGAGGAUGCGGCUGGUUUGCAAGGCAUGGAGAAACUUUCUUGAAAGUAGACUGGGGCCUUAUCUUGUCAUCUCCUGUGCAAACCCUACACACCUUGAUCAAGUUCAUCUUCUUCAGCUUCCGGAGGCUCCAGCUGCUGCUGCUGCCAUGGUACCAAUGCUUGCGAGGUCCUUUGAUCCCAUCCUUCCGCCGGUAGGGACAGCUUGUUGGGGUUCUGCUCAAGGUUUGAUUGCGAUGGUACAUGGUGAACCAUAUGAGAGAAUAAUAUUCUUACACUGCAUUCAUUGUGGUGAAAGGAUGCCGCUUCCACCCUAUGCAGCGGAAAUGAUACCGAGGGGUAUUUUCUUUAGAGCUGCUGCUCUCCAUGAUCACCUUGUGAUUUCAUGGGUUCAUCAGAUUGAUCAGCCCCAUCUUUUGAAUGAUGCUAUCGAUUGGAAUGACAUUGAAGCUGGGAAUUAG